CGAGAAAGCCCGCAAGGGUGAGUAAAGCGGCGCACGGGUGCGUAACACGUGGGUAAUCUGCCCUAGAGUCUGGAAUAACUCGCCGAAAGGCGUGCUAAUGCCGGAUAAGACCACGGGAGCUUCGGCUCCUGCGGGAAAAGGUGGCCUCUGUAUACAAGCUAUCGCUCUAGGAUGAGCCCGCGGCCCAUCAGCUAGUUGGCGGGGUAAUGGCCCACCAAGGCUACGACGGGUAGCUGGUCUGAGAGGACGAUCAGCCACACUGGAACUGAGACACGGUCCAGACUCCUACGGGAGGCAGCAGUGGGGAAUCUUGCGCAAUGGGCGAAAGCCUGACGCAGCAACGCCGCGUGUGUGAUGAAGGCCUUCGGAUCGUAAAGCACUGUCGCGAGGGACG
rnacentral:rRNA from 1 species